AUGCCAUCUCUAACUCUGAUUUUCAUUGUACACUCCUUCCGAGAAUCCUCCCUGGACAGUUUCAGAAGCCACCAGCCCCACCAUGGACUUCCUUGCAGAUCUGAAGAAACUGGCAGCCCCCUUCUGAGUGACCCACACUUUGGAAUGAAGUACAGUUGGCAAGCAAAAGGAAAUGCUGGACGAGGAGAGGAUGAUGAGGCACCUCAUUGUGGGCUUGGGAAGUGACUUGACGACCCUGCCCUGAGAGCCUGCUCGAGAGGGUUGGCAAACUCUCCUGGUCCUGCUGUGAUUCCCUCAGGCUUGUGAGGGACGACAGAUGGUUGAGCUAAACUCAGAGCCACCCCUCCACAUAAUGAAGAAAAAUGGCCAGCCUCCUGGUAAGUGGAAAUCAGAACCCGUG
rnacentral:lncRNA from 1 species